rnacentral:rRNA from 1 species
UGAGUAACCUGCCCUGGACUUUGGGAUAACCAUCGGAAACGGGGGCUAAUACCGGAUAUGACGGCUCACCGCAUGGUGUGGUUGUGGAAAGUUUUUCGGUCUGGGAUGGGCUCGCGGCCUAUCAGCUUGUUGGUGGGGUGAUGGCCUACCAAGGCGACGACGGGUAGCCGGCCUGAGAGGGCGACCGGCCACACUGGGACUGAGACACGGCCCAGACUCCUACGGGAGGCA